rnacentral:misc_RNA from 1 species
AAUGAUCCGAGUAUGUGGCCUGAACAUAGCAACAGAAAACAAAAAAAAAGACAGAGAUCCAAAUUAGUAGCUUCCAUCAAUGCAAGGUUAGAUUACACUAAUUUAGCAUGCAUCGUUAAUGCCAUUUGUUUAGAUGGGCAUUUUGCGCCAAAAAAUGACAUACAGGAUAGCAAAGUGCCGUCUCUGAACAGUACAUUGUGCACCCCUAUAUUAUCGAGAUUUUUUGCCCGCUUUCCCCUUCUUACGGUUCCUGUCUUCCCUCGUCAGGUAUACAAGGGAGACUCACGGCGCCGAAAGGAGCUUUGUCAAGGUGCAACAUCGCUUAGAGGAGUUGGAGAGGGGGAGGCGCCUCCUGUCGGAGGUAGUGGGCGCCAUGCGCAGGCGCUUCAGGGUACCCCCUCCAUCCGGGUCCGAGUCGCCGAUCUUCCGCCUUGAGGGCCUCGCGGGUCGAUUUCGGGAGCUUGAAACAGAAUCCUUCUGCCAGGCCUUCGUCGUCGCCACGUCUCACUUUGAGGGGGGGAUCGAGCUGGAGGCCCUAAGCGAAGGUUAUUGCGACGCCUGGAACGAUUUUGAUCUUGCCAGCAUGGUGAAGGCCACAGAGCCUUUUGCUCGGAAGCUAGGAGCCGCCCUGCUUGGCAAUAUCCCGCCCAAGGAAGUCAAGGAGGAUCUACGCCAUUGUAAUGUUUAUAUGGAAGGAUGGCCCUUCCUUUUCUCGGCGCCCUACUUAACUUUGUGAACACCUUUUGGUACUUGCUCUCCUGGGCGAGUAGAUCCAACGGGAAAGUAGAAAGAGUAUUCGCAAAGUUUGUCGUGGGAUGACAAAAGCUUUGUUAAUCUACCCCUGUGAUGGCACUGUACGGGGGUAUUUAUAAGCACUCGAGCGACCACCCAUCCCUUGUCAAAGACGUUUGUGCC